GACGAACGCUGGCGGCGUGCUUAACACAUGCAAGUCGAACGGAAAGGCCCUGCUUUUGUGGGGUGCUCGAGUGGCGAACGGGUGAGUAACACGUGAGUAACCUGCCCUUGACUUUGGGAUAACUUCAGGAAACUGGGGCUAAUACCGGAUAGGAGCUCUUGCUGCAUGGUGGGGGUUGGAAAGUUUCGGCGGUUGGGGCUGGACUCGCGGCUUAUCAGCUUGUUGGUGGGGUAGUUGCUUACCAAGGCUUUGACGGGUAGCCGGCCUGAGAGGGUGACCGGCCACAUUGGGACUGAGAUACGGCCCAGACUCCUACGGGAGGCAGCAGUGGGGAAUAUUGCACAAUGGGCGGAAGCCUGAUGCAGCAACGCCGCGUGCGGGAUGACGGCCUUCGGGUUGUAAACCGCUUUCGCCUGUGACGAAGAGUGAGUGACGGUAAUGGGUAAAGAAGCACCGGCUAACUACGUG
rnacentral:rRNA from 1 species